GUACUUCUGAAGAGUCCCAAACUAGGCGGACGAAACGGUUGUCCAGUAC
rnacentral:hammerhead_ribozyme from 1 species